UACAGAGGGGGCAAGCGUUGUUCGGAAUUACUGGGCGUAAAGGGCUCGUAGGUGGCCAACUAAGUCAGACGUGAAAUCCCUCGGCUUAACCGGGGAACUGCGUCUGAUACUGGAUGGCUAGAGAUUGGGAGAGGGAUGCGGAAUUCCAGGUGUAGCGGUGAAAUGCGUAGAUAUCUGGAGGAACACCGGUGGCGAAGGCGGCAUCCUGGACCAACACUGACGCUGAGGAGCGAAAGCCAGGGGAGCAAACGGG
rnacentral:rRNA from 1 species